rnacentral:rRNA from 1 species
AUACGUAGGUGGCAAGCGUUGUCCGGAAUUACUGGGCGUAAAGAAUGCGUAGGCGGUCUUUUAAGUGGGAUGUGAAAUCCCUGGGCUCAACCCAGGAACUGCAUUCCAAACUGGAAGACUAGAGUGCGGGAGAGGAAAUUGGUAUUCCCAGUGUAGCGGUGAAAUGCGUAGAGAUUGGGAGGAACACCAGUAGCGAAGGCGAAUUUCUGGAACGUAACUGACGCUGAGGCAUGAAAGCGUGGGGAGCAAACAGGAUUAGAUACCCUGGUAGUCCACGCCGUAAACGAUGAGUACUAGGUGUAGGGGCGCCAGCCUCUGUGCCGCAGUUAACACAUUAAGUACUCCGCCUGGGAAGUACGAUCGCAAGAUUAAA